CCGCUGAACUUAAGCAUAUCAAUAAGCGGAGGAAAAGAAACUAACAAGGAUUCCCCUAGUAACGGCGAGUGAAGCGGGAAGAGCUCAAGCUUAAAAUCUCCGUGCAAGUUUUGCGCGGCGAAUUGUAGUCUAUAGAGGCGUGGUCAGCGUGGGCGCUUGGGGCAAGUUCCUUGGAAGAGGACAGCAUGGAGGGUGAUACUCCCGUUCAUCCCUGAGUGGCUCGUGCGUACGACCCGUUUUCUUUGAGUCGCGUUGUUUGGGAAUGCAGCGCAAAGUAGGUGGUAAAUUCCAUCUAAAGCUAAAUAUUGGUGCGAGACCGAUAGCGAACAAGUACCGUGAGGGAAAGAUGAAAAGAACUUUGAAAAGAGAGUUAAAGAGUACCUGAAACUGCUGAAAGGGAACCGAAUCGUUUCCAGUGUCUAUAAUCCGUGGCAUAUUUCAUUGGCGAGCGUUUGCGUGCGUGUGCUGUGGCGGUGGCUUUUUUGGCUGCGCCUGGCGUGUGUGCUGUGAGUGUUUGCUGGUGCCCUGUGCUGCGGUGGGACGUCAAGGUCAGUUCGUAUGCUGCGGGAAAUGGCUGCCGAGGAGGUAGGGCUUACGCUCCGCGUUUGUCUGUUAUAUCUUGGUGGACGAGUCGUCGUGGUUGGGACUGAGGUGCCUACAACGUGCUUUUGAGUGGGUUUGUGUCUCCGUGUGCGCCGUGUGCGGAUAGCUUGCUAUGCGUGUGUGGUUGUGUGUGGAUUGAUGCGGGCUUUAACUUGUCGCCGUUCGGGACGUUGACGAAAUGGAGCGAUCCGACCCGUCUUGAAACACGGACCAAGGAGUCUAACAUGUGUGCAAGUGUUAGGGUGUGGAAACCCCAGCGCGAAAUGAAAGUGAAGGGCAGCGCAAGUUGUCUGAGGUAGGAAACGUUGCGGGCCUCGGUCUGCGGCGUGGCACUAUCGACCGAUCAUGAACCUUCGUGGUGAAAGAUUUGAGUUUGAGCACAUAUGUUGGUACCCGAAAGAUGGUGAACUAUGCCUGAGUAGGGUGAAGCCAGGGGAAACUCUGGUGGAAGCUCGUAGCGAUUCUGACGUGCAAAUCGAUCGUCAAACUUGGGUAUAGGGGCGAAAGACUAAUCGAACCAUCUAGUAGCUGGUUCCCUCCGAAAUUUCCCUCAGGAUAGCAGCAACUUAUUUACGAUAGUUUUAUGAGGUAAAGCGAAUGAUUAGAGGAUUCGGGGAAGAAACUUCCUCGACCUAUUCUCAAACUUUAAAUCUGUAAGACCUGCAGGUUUCUUAAUUGAACUUGUGGAUGUGAAUAUCAAGUUGCUAGUGGGCCAUACGGGGUAAGCUCGUCUGGCG
rnacentral:rRNA from 1 species